ensembl:snRNA
GAAAAGGGCUUUUCCUAUGAAUUGCACAUGUAGGACAACUCAACUGCUCUUUGUGUAGAAUUGACAUCAAGAUAUUUUGGAAGCAUAAUUUUUUGUUACCUGGACAACUGAUGAUCAUUGGUCCUU